GGCCAAUGUGUUACUGAACGGCCGUUACUGCAGUCAGAGGGCUGGCAAGGAAGCCAGUGUAGAUGGGAGCAUUUAUGAUCCUAAAAGAGCACACGCCCAGCAGGACGGCCAGCCCUGCAGUGACACCAGCCCGAGCUGCAGGAGCCUCCCAGGUCACCUUACGCUGUGCACAAUGAUGCUGCACCUGACCAUGCCUCAGCUUCCCCCACUUCAGGCCAUCGUCUUCCCAGCUUGGCAGUGACUGACACCAGCUCUCCUGAUGUGAGCACCCCUGGGUGAGGCAGUAGCACGUUAUCUCUGGGCCAAUUUGUAGCUUGCAACGUCAUCGUCAUGUGCUGCAUCACCUCAGGGUGCACAACUGCUGGGGAGGUGGAGCGAUCCUGGCCUUAUGGCUUCUGUUCUUUUGGCCUCUCCUCCUGCUACAGAGAGAUGAGAAGCCUUCUCCACAAUCCCUCUUUCUCUUCCAGUCCUCUUUUCCAUCCUACUGGGAAACUGGCUGGGAGCAGCCCUCAGCAUCCCAAAACAUCAGGCUGUUGUGACUGAGGAAGAGAGAACGCAGCAAGGGCACA